CUGUAGCUCUCACGCAUCGCGAAAUUAGGGUUUGCAAUGAGUCAUAGAGGAAUGGACCGCGAACACGAAGACGAAGACGAAGACGAUGAGGAUUACGAGGCGCAGGGUGUCAAUUUCGAUGAAGAGUAAGCGGAGGAGGAGGAGGAUAGAGGCGGUGGAAAGAAGCGGAGAAGAUUUAGUUGUAUCGAUGAUGAUGCGGGUGAGGUUGAUGAAGAUGAGGAAGAAGAGGAUGAUGGGGACGAUGAUUACGAUAGCGGCGGAAAAGCUAUCCGCAAGCGCUAGUUCAAGAAAUUUUUUGCUUCAAAUUUCUUCAAUGAAGAGGCUGAAGUUGAUACAGAUGAUGAAGAGGAGAAAGAAGAAGGGGAAGACGCUCAGUCUCGAAGCUAAAGUGCGUCUCUUAUCUAUGUAGAUAAGCUGAUAACCUGCAUAAGAGAUUAGUCUUCGUAGUUGUGUGUAAGAAUAUCAAGUCUAUAUCAAAGAAUGUAUGAUGUUUGCAUUUGCAUGUAUGGAUCUCUUGAAAUGUAAUCUAGUUAUGUGUUUUAUCUAGCUCAGGUCACAAGGCCGGUAUCAUUUCCAUGUUUUGGAAUGCUGCAUAAAGAGAAGCAUGUUUUACUGCAUUCUGUGGCCGAUGUCGUGGUUGAACAAGGGUACUUGCAAUCCCUUUUUGGUGUAUGCUCUCUUAGAAUUAAAAAUGUUGAAGUUAGAAGGCCACCCAAUGACGAUGUUAAAAUACUCGGCUUUGCAAAUCCUAACGAUUUCAAGAAGGCAUUUUGCUUUUGUAUGAUCAAAUUGUGUGUUUGUGCGCGUGUUUCUUUCCUUAUUUCUUCUUUCACUUUGAACUGUUUCAGGCUGUCAUGAUGCGCCUAUCAAACAUAAGAAUGAGAUAGUUUCAAGACAAGCGUUUACAUUAGAAGAUUCUUCGUAUUUGAUGGUAGAAACUAUUCAAAAAUUUCCUCUAAUUUUUUGG